rnacentral:snRNA from 1 species
GGAUGUGAGGGUGAUCUGGCUGUGACAUCAGUCACCCCAUUGAUCACCAGGGUUGAUUCGGCUGAUCUGGCUGGCUAGGUGGGUGUCCCCUUCCUCCCUCACCAUUCCAUGUGCGUCCCUCCCGAAGCUGCGCGCUCGGUGGAAGAGGAUGACCAUCCCACCAGGUGCUGGUGGCUCACGCCUGUAAUUCUAG